UACGUAGGGGCCGAGCGUUGUCCGGAGUUAUUGGGCGUAAAGCGCGCGCAGGCGGCUGAUCAAGCCCGACGUGAAAGCCCCCGGCUUAACCGGGGAGGGUCGUUGGGGACUGGUUGGCUUGAGGGCGGGAGAGGUCGGUGGAAUUCCCGGUGUAGUGGUGAAAUGCGUAGAGAUCGGGAGGAACACCUGUGGCGAAGGCGGCCGACUGGGCCGACCCUGACGCUGAGGCGCGAAGGCGUGGGGAGCGAACGGG
rnacentral:rRNA from 1 species